rnacentral:lncRNA from 1 species
GGUUUCUAGAUCAAAUACUCCUUUUUGAUAAAAGUUCUUUCUUUUAGAAUCAAUGAAGUCCUUGAAAGCCAUUUUGAUAGUUGCAUGUUUUGAGAAGUCUUGAUUUCCAAGGAAGUGAAAAUCUGUUGGAGAAAAGUCAGGUGAUUAUGGUGAAUGGGAGAAAACUUUCAUAUCUUUGCUUCUGAAUGUUGAUCUGCUCAAAAUGAGAUCUUUUCAUUGUGAUUCAAGAAGAUAGGCUUACAUGUAGGUUGCAUUAUUAUUAAUUUUUCAUAUGUGAUAUUUUCCCACAAUUCUUCUCUAUUAUUAUGAUUUUAUCUUCAUGAAGAAAAGAAUAAUGAAAUGCUAUUGCAAAUCACCAUACCCAUUAUCAUGAAUUUUCUGAGGUGCAAUGAUUGUUUCAGCACAUGCUUGGGAGUUUCAUAAAUGUCCACCCAUUGCACCGAUUGCUUCCAAUUGUCAGAGUAACAUUUUUCAAACUUUUCUGGCUGCAAGCUAUUGCAGGAACCACAUUUUCUAUUGUGAUCCAUAUGUGAUAAUAAAUCAAAGACACAAACUUUAUAUAAAUUGUUACAUUCAUUUAUUCAUAAUUGACCAAUAUUUCAUAUUUGUUAUGGAUAGUGUAUAUUGCUACAAAUGAACUACUUUCAGAAAAAGUUUUAUUUUCUAAGUUCUUUUGAAACAUUUUUGUGCUGGUUUUUCUAUUCAUUGUGACUCAUUUAUUUUGGGACCCACUAAAGGGUCACAAGCCACAGUUUGAAAAAUGCUGUCAUAGAGGAUCCAUUUGUCAUCAAAUGUCAAACCUAUCUUAAAAAUAGAUCCAUUUUGUUUCUCAGAAGCAGCAAUGAACAAAUUUCUACAUACCAAUACUUCUGCUGUUAAAAUCAAGAAGCAAAAUGCUGGUUCAAUUCCAGGUCUCACAUCUCCAGUUUUUCAAGAGGAGUUCAGAUUCAUUUAUCUGUGUUAAUUGAUGUUUUAUAUAC